rnacentral:rRNA from 1 species
AACGAACGCUGGCGGCAUGCCUAACACAUGCAAGUCGAACGAGACCUUCGGGUCUAGUGGCGCACGGGUGCGUAACGCGUGGGAACCUGCCCUUAGGUUCGGAAUAACUCCCCGAAAGGGGUGCUAAUACCGGAUAAUGUCUUCGGACCAAAGAUUUAUCGCCUUUGGAUGUGCCCGCGUUGGAUUAGCUAGUUGGUAGGGUAAAAGCCUACCAAGGCGACGAUCCAUAGCUGGUCUGAGAGGAUGAUCAGCCACACUGGGGCUGAGACACGGCCCAGACUCCUACGGGAGGCAGCAGUGGGGAAUAUUGGACAAGGGGCGGAAGGCUGAUCCAGCAAUGCCGCGUGAGUGAUGAAGGCCUUAGGGUUGUAAAGCUCUUUUAACCGGGAUGAUAAUGACAGUACCGGGAGAAUAAGCUCCGGCUAACUCCGUG